GUUGGGUUAAGUUCCGCAACGAGCGCAACCCCUACUGCCAGUUACUAACAGGUGAUGCUGAGGACUCUGGCGGAACUGCCGGUGACAAACCGGAGGAAGGUGGGGAUGACGUCAAGUCAUCAUGGCCCUUAUGUCCAGGGCUACACACGUGCUACAAUGGUCGGAACAGAGCGAGGCGAAGCAGCGAUGCGGAGCGAAGCGCAAAAAGCCGACCGUAGUUCGGAUCGGAGUCUGAAACCCGACUCCGUGAAGUUGGAAUCGCUAGUAAUCGCACAUCAGCACGGUGCGGUGAAUACGUUCCCGGGCCUUGUACACACCGCCCGUCACACCAUCCGAGUAGAGGGUACCCGAAGCCGGUAGUCUAACCCGCAAGGGGGGACGCUGUCGAAGGUAUGCUUUGUGAGGGGGGUGAAGUCGUAACAAGGUAGCCGUACCGGAAGGUGCGGCUGGAUCACCUCCUUUCU
rnacentral:rRNA from 1 species